CGGGCCGCGCCGUGACGGGGCGGCCCCGGCUGCGGUUUGUGAGGCCGGGCCUCGGCGGAGCGCUGGCCGGCUGAGCAGAACCAGCUCUCUCAGCACCUCCUCAUCUGCCCUGUGCUCCACCCCUGAGCAUCUUGGUGGCCUUCCCCAGACUCUGGUACAUGGAUGCCUGUCAUACUGGGGAGCUCAGACUGGACCCAGCACUAGCAGAUGGACCCUGCAGAGCAGAGGGCAAAGCUUCCCCAUCUCACCCCGCUGCCUGCGCGCUCGGUGACACAGCCCUGGAUGCAGCGGCCCUUCUUUGUCAUGGGGCCACUCGGUGGGCUCAGACUCACCUUGUUUACUGGGACCCCAGCACCUUGUCUGCCAAAUUGCUCCCAUGUCCUGCUGCACUGGGGUCACUCCCUCCCAGACACACCUUUGAUGACCAGUGUUUGUUUUUGUUGAGUUUCCUGUGUUUUUUGUCUGGUCUGCUAAUACCAUAGAAGUCAACAACAUAAAGCUGGUCCCGGAAGAGACCACAGUGACCCAUCUCUCUGUGGAAGCCAUUUUUAGGAAUGCUUUCCCACUUUGGGCUAGACACAGCUCUAAGCAAACAUCACACAGUGACUGUUGAAUACUCAGCAGAUGCCAUCGUUCUCCGUUAACUGCUAAGCUAUUUUAAAUCUUUAACAGUAGCUUAACACUCCUAGCUGACUUAAGGCUUUGUAAAGCUGGUGGUUAAUAAAUGCAGGAAUAUUUUGUUUUCA